AUUAAUUAUUAUUUAUCUUUAACUUAUAUGCACAGUAAAUUAUUGAUAUCUAAUAGUUAAUAAUCCACGUGGUAGAGGCAUAGUUAGGUUCGCUAUGUGUGCAACUCUUAAAGGUAACUAAUCCUAAGCAAGUAAUGGAGAAUAGGUAUUAACAUUAAUACAUGAGAAUAAUCUCAUAAUGUGCUUGACAGUAUGAUACUAACUGAACAAUAAGUAUCA
rnacentral:ncRNA from 1 species